AUUGAACGCUGGCGGCAUGCUUUACACACGCAAGUCGAACGGUAACAGGCCGCAAGGUGCUGACGAGUGGCGAACGGGUGAGUAAUGCAUCGGAACGUGCCCAGUCGGGGGGGAUAACGCAGCGAAAGCUGUGCUAAUACCGCAUACGAUCUAUGGAUGAAAGCGGGGGACCGUAAGGCCUCGCGCGAUUGGAGCGGCCGAUGUCAGAUUAGGUAGUUGGUGGGGUAAAGGCCCACCAAGCCAACGAUCUGUAGCUGGUCUGAGAGGACGACCAGCCACACUGGGACUGAGACACGGCCCAGACUCCUACGGGAGGCAGCAGUGGGGAAUUUUGGACAAUGGGCGCAAGCCUGAUCCAGCAAUGCCGCGUGCAGGAAGAAGGCCUUCGGGUUGUAAACUGCUUUUGUACGGAACGAAACGGUCUGGGUUAAUACCCUGGGCUAAUGACGGUACCGUAAGAAUAAGCACCGGCUAACUACGUGCCAGCCGCCGCGGUAACAC
rnacentral:rRNA from 1 species